rnacentral:rRNA from 1 species
GACGAACGCUGGCGGCGUGCCUAAUACAUGCAAGUCGAGCGAAGUUUUUCUGGUGCUUGCACUAGAAAAACUUAGCGGCGAACGGGUGAGUAACACGUAAAGAACCUGCCUCAUAGACUGGGACAACUAUUGGAAACGAUAGCUAAUACCGGAUAACAGCAUUAACUGCAUGGUUGAUGUUUAAAAGUUGGUUAUGCUAACACUAUGAGAUGGCUUUGCGGUGCAUUAGCUAGUUGGUGGGGUAAAGGCCUACCAAGGCGACGAUGCAUAGCCGACCUGAGAGGGUGAUCGGCCACACUGGGACUGAGACACGGCCCAGACUCCUACGGGAGGCAGCAGUAGGGAAUCUUCCGCAAUGGGCGAAAGCCUGACGGAGCAACGCCGCGUGAGUGAAGAAGGAUUUCGGUUCGUAAAGCUCUGUUGUUAGGGAAGAAUGAUUGUGUAGUAACUAUACGCAGUAGAGACGUACCUAACCAGAAAGCCACGCA